rnacentral:lncRNA from 1 species
GAUUUAAGAAAAAAUUGAGAAGAAUAAAGUUAAAAGUAAAUAGUGUAAGACAAUUUAUAAUGGAGAUAGAAAAUACAAAGUGACACAGAAAGGGCAAUCUUAUCAAGUUAGUUUAUUGGAUAGGAAUUAUACUUACAAUGUAUGGAAUCUAACAGGUAUAUCAUCUAUUCAUACUAUUUCUAUAAUAUGGCAUAAGAAUGAUAAUGUUGAGGAUUAUAUAGUGG